AAACUUUGCAAUGUGCGAAAGCACGACAAGGUUAAUCCGAGUGUUUUCUGCUAAAGGAAUCUUUUGUUAGUUAUAACACUACUAAUGAAUAAGGGGUGGGCAAGUUCUGGUGUCAGCCGCCGCGGUAAAACCAGCACCUCAAGUGGUCAGGAGGAUUAUUGGGCCUAAAGCAUCCGUAGCCUGCUUUACAAGUCCUCGGUUAAAUCCAUACGCUCAACGUAUGGGCUGCCGGGGAUACUGUACAGCUAGGGAGUGGGAGAGGUAGACGGUACUCGGUAGGAAGGGGUAAAAUCCUUUGAUCUAUCGAUGACCACCUGUGGCGAAGGCGGUCUACCAGAACACGUCUGACGGUGAGGGAUGAAAGCUGGGGGAGCAAACCGGAUUAGAUACCCGGGUAGUCCCAGCUGUAAACUAUGCAAACUCAGUGAUGCACUGGCUUGUGGCUAGUGCAGUGCCGCAGGGAAGCCGUUAAGUUUGCCGCCUGGGAAGUACGUACGCAAGUAUGAAACUUAAAGGAAUUGGCGGGGGAGCAC
rnacentral:rRNA from 1 species